ACAGACAAUACUUGGUUUCAAUCCGAGAAAAUGAAGGUUGCCAUGUUUCUUCAGUCUCUCCCUCUAUGUUUUUCCCUUCUCUUGGCCUUCAACACACAGCCACUUCUAGCUGCUGAGCCUGAGCCAGUGGUGGAUAAGCAAGGGGAACCUUUGGUGCCAGGAGUGGGGUACUAUGUGUGGCCACUUUGGGCUGAUGAAGGAGGCCUCACACUAGGCCAAACAAGGAACAAGACAUGCCCUCUUGAUGUUAUCCGUGACCCUUCUUUUAUUGGCUCACCAGUGGCAUUCUCGGCAGAAGGGCUUGACCACAUUCCAACUCUCACUGAUCUCACCAUUGACUUCCCUGUGGUCACAGCCUGCAACCAGCCUACAGUGUGGAAGCUCAGCAAGGAAGGGUCAGGGUUCUGGUUUGUGAGCACCAGUGGGAACCCUCAGGAUAUCACAAGCAAGUUCAAGAUUGAGAGGCUUGAAGGGGAUCACGCCUAUGAGAUCUACAGCUUCAAGUUCUGCCCCAGUAGGCCUGGUGUACUGUGUGCUCCUGUGGGAACCUUUCAAGAUUCUGAUGGAACCAAAGUCAUGGCUGUUGGGGAUAACAUUGACCCCUACUAUGUCAGGUUCCAGAAGUUUUCCUUGAAGGACCAAGAGAAGAAACCCUUCAGCAUUGUGUAGUUUGGUAGCUCUAUGAGCUGUGUAGUUAUAGGGGGUUGUGACUUUGAAUAAUCAAUAAGAGUGUAGUAGGGAACUGGAUUUUUGGUGUGGCAGCAGAAAGAAUCAUCAGAAGUUUUUAUUUCUUGGUUCUCAUGGCACAGAUCAGA
rnacentral:lncRNA from 1 species